AUUGAACGCUGGCGACAGGCCUAACACAUGCAAGUCGAGCGGAUGAGAGGAGCUUGCUUCUCGAUUCAGCGGCGGACGGGUGAGUAAUGCCUAGGAAUCUGCCUGGUAGUGGGGGACAACGUUUCGAAAGGAACGCUAAUACCGCAUACGUCCUACGGGAGAAAGCAGGGGACCUUCGGGCCUUGCGCUAUCAGAUGAGCCUAGGUCGGAUCAGCUAGUUGGUGAGGUAAUGGCUCACCAAGGCGACGAUCCGUAACUGGUCUGAGAGGAUGAUCAGUCACACUAGAACUGAGACACGGUCCAGACUCCUACGGGAGGCAGCAGUGGGGAAUAUUGGACAAUGGGCGAAAGCCUGAUCCAGCCAUGCCGCGUGUGUGAAGAAGGUCUUCGGAUUGUAGAGCACUUUAAGUUGGGAGGAAGGGCAGUAAGUUAAUACCUUGCUGUUUUGACGUUACCGACAGAAUAAGCACCGGCUAACUUCGUGCCAGCCGCCGCCGUAAUAC
rnacentral:rRNA from 1 species